rnacentral:rRNA from 1 species
UACGAAGGGGGCUAGCGUUGUUCGGAAUUACUGGGCGUAAAGCGUGCGCAGGCGGCUUCUCAAGUCAGGGGUGAAAGCCCAGAGCUCAACUCUGGAAUUGCCUUUGAGACUGAGUGGCUUGAGUACGAGAGAGGUGAGUGGAAUUCCCAGUGUAGAGGUGAAAUGCGCAGAUAUCGGGAAGAACACCCGUGGCGAAGGCGGCUCUCUGGGACGGUACUGACGCUGAGGCGCGAAAGCGUGGGGAGCGAACAGG